rnacentral:rRNA from 1 species
GACGAACGCUGGCGGCGUGCUUAACACAUGCAAGUCGAACGGUGAUGCUCCAGCUUGCUGGCGUGGAUCAGUGGCGAACGGGUGAGUAACACGUGAGCAACCUGCCCCAGACUCUGGAAUAAGCGCUGGAAACGGCGUCUAAUACUGGAUACGAAACUGGCCCGCAUGGGCAUGGUUUGGAAAGUUUUUCGGUUUGGGAUGGGCUCGCGGCCUAUCAGCUUGUUGGUGAGGUAAUGGCUCACCAAGGCGACGACGGGUAGCCGGCCUGAGAGGGCGACCGGCCACACUGGGACUGAGACACGGCCCAGACUCCUACGGGAGUCAGCAGUGGGGAAUAUUGCACAAUGGGCGAAAGCCUGAUGCAGCGACGCCGCGUGAGGGAUGACGGCCUUCGGGUUGUAAACCUCUUUCAGCAGGGAAGAAGCGAAAGUGACGGUACCUGCAGAAGAAGCACCGGCUAACUACGUG